rnacentral:lncRNA from 1 species
AUGAACCAGGGGCCAUCUAGCCUGACCCUUGCAGAUGGGAACCAUAGAUAUAUAAACAGAGGAGAUGGGACCCUGCAAGAGGCAGUGGUGGCCACCAACUUGCAACUUCCGCUCAGGAUUUUCCCCAGGGUAAGCCCCAUUUCAGCCAGCAUACUCUGCACCCUCCUCAAAUGCUUUGGCCUGGUUGGGAGGUUUCCUGGUGUUAACGGAAAAAUUUGAGGGCUCCCUUGGACAAAAACAAAGACACCAACCAGGAUAACUUGGAGCAAAACAGCAGCCUGUAGGCUUGGCCUUUAUUGAUCUGUUGCAACAGGGUGCUCCCCUCACUUGCAGGAGAGAGGAAGGACCCAGAAAAAUGGUGUGCAAGACCUUAUAAAGACUUUUGAAAUUGCCACCCUGUAGAUCAAGACCACCCCCAGAAACAUACAUCACAGAAAGGAGGGGUUGAGGGAGGAGUUGUGGUGGUAACCUGAGUGUCCUGUCUUCUGGCUGGUUCCCCCUUUCCCCCCAUGAGUAUUUUCCAGGUGACAGAGGGGAGUUUGCAGUUUCCUGCCCCCAGAGGGAAGAGCUGAUUAUUGUCCUUUGUUCCUGUCCCUGCCGAAUCCACUCCCAUAUGCAAGUUCUUUGGGAUCUUGAUGGUCUUCUGUCUAGGACCAUCAGGGUUGGCAUAGCAACUGGGCAGGGCUCCUGUGUAUGUGCUGGUAUGCUGAAGGGAUUAUGGCUGCCCUGUAUCAAACCUUCCCCAUUUUGUAGUCCUUCCUUCAUGGAGUAAAAUAAAAGUGGAACAGUGCAAAGUGGAACAGUGCAAAUCCGAUGUAUGGUUGAUUUUCUAUGAAUUUAUAACAGAAGUGUAGCGUAUGUAGUGUGUGAGUGAAGUUUGUAAAAACUGAAUGAUUGGGGGGGGGUUUCCUGCGACACUGGUAACCCCCUCCCUUCUGGUGGCACCAAUGUUCCCCUGGCCUCAAAUGCCCCCUUGACCGCUCACCGCAACCCCAUUCAUCUCCACCGUCGCCACAGUCCUUGGUGUGGGCAGGGGCCACGCAGCUGCUUGGCAGGCACGGCUCACCUGGGGCGCCGGUCCGGGGACCUGGAAAUGUUGGGACGAUUAAUGGGUUGCCUCCAAGCAAUCUAUCUGGUUGGUCAGGUUUUGGGGAGGCGGAAAAUAAAGUUUUACUUUGGGGCCGACAGUUCCUGAACUACACGUUGUCCAGUGCCACACUCAUCACCGAGAAGGUCACCUGCGCUCUUGACAUGCUCCAGAUAAGGAGCGGCCGGGGAGGGUGAGGAGCCCAAGACCCACCUGGAAAGCACUGCGGAUUCUUCCGGUGUAGGCCAGCAGGGGGCGCCGGGCGCCUAAGGGUGACGCAGGGCUUCGCCACAGGGGAUAAUCUGGCUUCCAUGGCUCAGCUCCACUGGGAAGCUCCCGUUGAGUCCUGCAGGGGAAGGGCGGAGGGGUGAUGAACCAGGGGCCAUCUAGCCUGACCCUUGAAGAUGGGAACCAUAGAUAUAUAAACAGAGGAGAUGGGACCCUGCAAGAAUUGCAGAAUGACAUCUAGUCUCAACCGCUCUCAUUUUUAUCGGUCAGCUGCCAGGAAUCCCAAAGGGGGACGGGAAGCAGGGCAUCAGUAAAUUUCAUGAUAAGAAUGGUAUUUCAUUAUGCCGGCCCUACCAGGCGGUCAGUAGUCUGGAAAUCAAUAAAUAAUAAUUAUAUGAUAGCACCAUGAUAUGUCCUGCAGCUUAGAAAUGUAAUAUGUGAUAUCAAUAUGGAAUUAUGACAACUGUGCCUGGUGGCAUUUCCUCCACACAGGGAAAAAGGCCAAGUACAUGGCUCUGCCUGUUGGAUUUCUGACCACCAGUGCCCCAAGCUUACCUUUCUCGGCCAUACUGUACCAGAUGCGGAGUUCACAGGCUGUGGCUGUGUCACUCACGGUCAGGGAGCGGAGUCAGGCGGCUUGGUUCACUGCUCCGAGGUGCUCAUGUACCAGCCUGGUUGGGGGG